GUGUUUGUAGUCCAACUGAUAAUUAGGAUAAUUUCCUUUCAAGCAAUAGACCCGGGUUCAACUCUCGGUAAACGCA
rnacentral:tRNA from 1 species